GGGAACAUGAGAAUAAAGAUCAAGUUUGCCACAGGGAACACCAACAGAUUCAGAGGACUGAGAGGCUUUGCUCGGGAAGAGCUCCAAGUGCUGAGAAGAAUUGUGUGGGGAAGGCACUUCGACUUGCUCCCAGGAAGCAUCACAAGAUAGAAUUACUCUGGUAAGUUUACCAUUGUUUGCAUUUUACCUUUGGUCUUACUGUCUCAUAAACCUUAAUUUGCACACAUUUGAGAGUGGAAAUAACUCUGAUGGCCACUGACUGGUGAUUGGAUAAAUAAAAUAUGGUAUAUCUACA
rnacentral:lncRNA from 1 species